rnacentral:rRNA from 1 species
GACCAGACUCGGCCUCGGGGUUCAGCCAGCACUCGUGCUGGUGUACUUCCCCGGGGGCGGGCCAGCGUCGGUUUGGGCGGCCGGUCAAAGGCCCCAGGAAUGUAUCACCCUCCGGGGUUGUCUUAUAGCCUGGGGUGCAAUGCGGCCAGCCUGGACCGAGGAACGCGCUUCGGCACGGACGCUGGCAUAAUGGUUGCAAACGACCCGUCUUGA